ACCUGGUUGAUUCUGCCAGUGCGGAUAUGCUCAUCUCAAGGACUUAGCCAUGCAUGCCAAAGUUCAAGCCGUUAAAUGGUGAGACUGCGAAUGGCUCAGUAAAUCAGUUAUUAUGUAAUCGAUUCAUGCUGUGUGUUAAAAGCACAGAUUUUCGGAUAACUGUGGUAACUCUAGAGCUAAUACGUGUAUAGGGUGGCUUUGGGUUAAUCCUCAAUGCCAUCAGCAUUUAUUUGCUUCUAGUAUGUGUAUCACGAUACUCAUGCUUGCCAACAUGUACAAUGGGGGACCAUAUAUGUUCUUUGGAUAUAUUUGGCUUCCAUUGUACAACAUAUAGAUGAAUCAGAAUAACUGAUUGCUGAUCGAUUAAGGACUUUGUUCCUUCGAUAUAUCGAAUCAAUUUCUGCCCCAUCAAUUAGUUGGUUGGGUAGUGGCCGACCAAGGUGUUGACGGGUAACGGGGAAUCAGGGUUUGAUUCCGGAGAGGGAGCCUGAGAAACGGCUACCACAUCCAAGGGGUGGCAGCAGGCGCGCAAAUUAUCCAAUCCAGAUAAUGGGAGAUAGCGACAAGACAUACCAGGAGUGACCUUAUAUAAGGUCAAUCACUGGAAUGGAUGCAAUUUAAAUACCUCAAUGAGGAACUACUGGAGGGCAAGUCUGGUGCCAGCAGCCGCGGUAAUACCGGCUCCAGUGGUGUAUCGCAUUGUUGCUGCGGUUAAAACGCUCGUAGUUUGAUAGCAGUAUGUAUGCCGGCUGUAGCAUUAUCCAUACACAUAACUCUUGGUACAACACAUGCUUGUGUGUUGUGGUUCCCUAUACCUCGGUAUGGGGUUCACACAUCACAUUAGUGUGUGUUGUGACAAGGGUAUGUGAUUUGCGACAAUGUAUCGUGGGUACGCAAUUAUUGUCUUUAAAUAGACAAUAGUGCGAUAACCACUACAGUUCAAAGUGUAGAAUACCCAAUACAACUUCCUGUAUUUUUUUGCAAAAUACAGGCUUGUUGGGGUAUUUUACAUGACACUUUCCACACACACAUAAAUACAUAUAUGUUGUGUGAAAAGUGUUUGUUGGUAUACGUACUUAAAUUCACAGGAUUGUUCAUCAUCUUCAUUGAUGGUGAUCAACAUUACCUGUGGAAAGAUUGCCUUGAAUAAAAUAGAGUGCUCAAAGCAUGCUUGUGCUCGAAUAUGCUAGCACGGAACGAAUGUAUCCUAACCACCCCGUUGGGUGUAUUGCAGGAUUGUUGGUCUGCACACCUAUGUGGGUAUCGGUUAAACAGGGAACAUUUGGGGGCAUUGAUAUUAAACUUUUGAGUAGGUGAAUUCUAAGACCGGCUAAAGAUCGACAAUUGCGAAAGCAUUUGCCAAGAAUGUUUUCAUUAAUCAAGAGCGAAAGUUGAGGGAUCAAAGCUGAUUAGAUACCAGCGUAGUCUCCACUACAAAUUUUGCCAUCCUGGAUUUGAUCUUUAACACAUAUUGUGAAAGAACAGAUCCACCGGGAAACCUAAAGUUUUUGGGUUCCGGGGGGAGUAUGGUCGCAAGGCUGAAACUUAAAGGAAUUGACGGAAGGGCACCACCAGGAGUGGAGCCUGCGGCUUAAUUUGACUCAACACGGGGAAUCUCACCAGGUCCGGACAUUGGCAGGAUUGACAGAAUGACAGAUCUUUCAUGAUUUGGUGGAUGGUGGUGCAUGGCCGCUCUUAGUUGGUGGAGCGAUCUGUCAGGUCAAUUCCGGUAACGAGCGAGAUCAACUUCUCUAUUUUGGUCGUCUUGAUAACUGUAUACAUACUGGUGUAUCCCCUUGAACAUGUAUCAUUACAUCUUGUUGUAUACAUAACAUUGGAAGUGCAGGAUUUCGGUUCUGUACAACUUGUGUUAUGUGUACACAAGCGUGUAGUUAUAUGUGUUCAGGUGUUCGUCGUGUGUAUACUUGUGUCAGGUCACCUUCAUAGAGAGACAACCGGUGUUUUUAUGCAACCGGUGGAAGUGUGGCCAUAGCAGGUCUGUUAUGCCCUUAGAUGUUCUGGGCUGCACGCGUGCUACAAUGGAGGUGCCAGCGAGUUUAACCUUACCGAAAGGUACGGGUAAUCUUGUGAAUCAUCUUCGUGAUGGGGAUUGAGCUUUGAAAUUAUCGCUCAUGAACCUGGAAUUCCUCGUAAGUACGAGUCGUCAGCUCGGGCUGAAUACGUCUCUGCCCUUUGUACACACCGCCCGUCGCCACUUCCGAUUGAAUGGGCCGGCAAGAACUUUGAAUUAAGAAUGUUUUACAACGUUUUUGAGAUAUG
rnacentral:rRNA from 1 species